rnacentral:rRNA from 1 species
UACGUAGGGUGCGAGCGUUAAUCGGAAUUAUUGGGCGUAAAGCGUCCGCAGGUGGCUCUGUAAGUCUGUCGUUAAAGAAUGGGGCUCAACCCCAUACAGGCGAUGGAAACUACAAGGCUAGAGUUUGGUAGGGGUCACGGGAAUUCCUAGUGUAGCGGUGAAAUGCGUAGAUAUUAGGAAGAACACCAGCGGCGAAAGCGCGUGACUGGGCCAGUACUGACACUCAUGGACGAAAGCUAGGGGAGCGAAAGGG